rnacentral:tRNA from 1 species
GGGGUUGUGGCUCAGUGGUAGAGCACUUGCCUACCACGCAUGAGGCACUGUGUUCGAUCCCCAACACCA